rnacentral:rRNA from 1 species
UACGGGGGGGGGCAAGCGUUGUUCGGAAUUACUGGGCGUAAAGGGCUCGUAGGCGGCCAACUAAGUCGGAUGUGAAAUCCCCAGGCUUAACCUGGGAACUGCAUCCGAUACUGGAUGGCUUGAAUCCGGGAGAGGGAUGCAGAAUUCCAGGUGUAGCGGUGAAAUGCGUAGAUAUCUGGAGGAAUACCGGUGGCGAAGGCGGCAUCCUGGACCGGCAUUGACGCUGAUGAGCGAAAGCUAGGGGAGCAAACAGGG